UGUUCCCUGCGGUGUUUGUCAAGGUCUAUAUUCUUUGAACCAACUUUUUGAGAACCGGUUGCGAACCAAAGUGAUGCUGUUGUGCGCGUCCCAUGCGGAAGUGCCUGAUGCAUCCGGCGAGUGACCACCUUGAACCUUAAGGUUCAAGAUAAACGACCUGACGGCAUUUGCGGGGACUUU
rfam:Nitrosospira multiformis ATCC 25196, complete genome.